GGUGAAAAAAGAUGGGGUUAAUGAAUGUAAAAUGCUAAAAUGAAAAAAUGUUGAAAUAAGUUAAGUUCUGAUGAAUAUUUUAUUUCUUGGUUGCAGGUCCCAAAAAAGCAGAAACCCGAACAGAAGCUCCUGAAUACUCCAAGGAUCAACUCGAGUGUGUCAGAAGGAUAAAAGUUUGCAAAGACUACUAUGAAAUCCUUGGCGUGACAAAAGAAGCGACUGACUCAGAAAUCAAGAAAGCUUACAAGAAACUUGCUUUACAGCUACAUCCAGACAAAAAUAAGGCUCCUGGGCUGCUGAAGCAUUCAAAGCAAUUGGGAAUGCUGUUGCAAUUUUAACAAAUGAAGAAAAGAGGAAGCAGUAUGAUCUCUGUGGAUCAGAGCAGAAACAACCCAAGAAUUUCCAGACUCAUCAUCAACAUGACUACACUCGUGGAUUUGAUCCGGACAUGGCUGCUGAGGAACUGUUCUACUCUUUCUUCAGUCGAGGAUUCCCAACGCAGGGAAAUGCAUUCAUGGGACAAAGGACCAGGACAUACAGGACUGCCGACUUUGGCACCAAUAAUCAAAUGUAAGCUUCUAGCAUUCAUUAUCAGACCCUCUUCUUUUUUAACCUCCAUUUUUAUGUACUCAAUGGACUGACCUUAAAAAAGUUCUUUCA
rnacentral:lncRNA from 1 species